CACGCUGUAAACGAUGAUUACUAGCUGCUGGGAGUUUUAAACUAUCAGUAGCGCAGCUAACGCGAUAAGUAAUCCGCCUGGGGAGUACGGCCGCAAGGUUAAAACUCAAAGGAAUUGACGGGGCCCGCACAAGCGGUGGAGCAUGUGGUUUAAUUCGAUGCAACGCGAAGAACCUUACCUACCCUUGACAUACAGAGAAUCUUGCAGAGAUGUGAGAGUGCCGAAAGGAGCUCUGAUACAGGUGCUGCAUGGCUGUCGUCAGCUCGUGUCGUGAGAUGUUGGGUUAAGUCCCGUAACGAGCGCAACCCCUAUUCUUAAUUGCCAUCAGGUUAUGCUGGGCACUUUAAGGAGACUGCUGGUGACAAACCA
rnacentral:rRNA from 1 species